rfam:Struthio camelus australis contig22950, whole genome shotgun sequence.
CUUGGGUACGGGGAUAUGUAUCCGCGGACUUGGUCAGGCAUGCUGGUGGGGGCCCUGUGUGCUUUGGCUGGGGUGCUGACCAUAGCCAUGCCCGUGCCUGUUAUUGUUAACAAU